rnacentral:rRNA from 1 species
GUCUAUGGCCAUGUCACCCUGAACAAGCCCGAUCCCGUCUGAUCUCGGAAGCUAAGCAUGGUCAGGUCUGGUUAGUACUUGGAUGGGAGACCACGUAGGAUGACCAGGUGCUGUAAACG